rnacentral:misc_RNA from 1 species
ACUGACGGAAGAUUAAUUACUUGAUCUAGAAAAGGGUGGCGCUAUCUACUCCAGUUCCUCCGGCUCCAGCCAGUCCAGUAACAAAAGCAAAAAACUUAAAAAGAGUAAAGAGCAUAAACCCUCCAGUAAACUACAGAAAACUUUGUCAGCAUCAGAUUCAGAGGAUGAAGAAGAUGCUAAAAAGAAGAAAGCUAGAAUACCUCGAAAGACGAAGAAGCCGGAGAAAAAGGACGAAAUUUCGGACGAUCAGGCAGAUUGGAGGGUUGAGUUUGAUGAUGGGCUAGACGAUGAAUUCAUUGGGGAUGAGAAGGACAGGGAUAUGCUGGAGGACAUGACGGAGAGGGAAAGGGAGGAGGAGCUCUACAAGAGAGCGGAGAAGAGGGAGGAACUUAAGAAGAGGUUUGAGAUCUCCCAGAAGUUAAAAAAGCAGAAUAAAAACAAGAACCUGGAGAGAAGGGAAUCAGGGUCAGAUGAAGGGGAACUGAGGGAGGAUAGAGAGGACAGGGAGGACAGGGAUGACGCUGCAUAUCUAGCUGAGUCAGGGAGCAGGAAGAAAGGGUAUGAGGAGAAAUAUGGGAGUAAGUUCAACGCCCUAAGUGAACUUAAGGCGAAGAGGGAGGAGAAGGAGAGAAAGGAGAAGAUGAGAGAAGAGAAACAGAAGAAGAAAUCAAGGAAGAAAGAAUCAGAAUCAGAGUCCGGCUCAGAUUAUGAGAAAUUAGGACGUAGAAAGAAGAAGAAGGUUUUGAAAGCAUCUGAAAUAUACUCAAGCUCUAGCUCCGACGACGGAGACAAUGUCCGCAGAAAAACUAGUUCAGAACACAGUAGUAGCAGUGUGAGCUCUAUAAGUGAGUCUGGUGGAGAAUCUGAUACAGAAAGACAGAAUUCUAAGAAAACUGUCAAGAAAGCAAUGCAUCUUGAUACUGUAGAAGAGCUUGAGAAAAUUAGGUUAUCCCGGUUUAAACUUGAUAAGUUUUGUCAUCUGCCCUGCUUCAAGAAAACUGUAGUGGGAUGCUUUGUAAGGAUAGGGAUAGGGAAAAAUGCUGAAACUAAUAAGGAUGUCUACCGAUGCUGUGAAAUAAUGGAUAUUUGUGAAACUGGAAAAGUUUAUAAUGUGAUGAAAACUAAGACUAAUAUAGGAUUAAAAUUGAGGUUUGGAAAAGAUACAAGAAUAUUCCGUUUACAGUUUGUUUCCAACCAGGCAUUUAAAGAAAGUGAAUUUACAAAUUGGAAGAAAGCCUGCCAUGAGGGGAAUAUAUUGCUUCCAACAGUUGCACACAGAGAACAGAAAGAAAAAGAUAUCAAGUACGCCCUGGAGUAUAGAUUCAGUAGCUACGACGUCGAGAAGAUCCUCGCUUCAAAGGGAAAAUUCAAUCAGAGUCCGAAAAAUUUUGCCAUGUACAAGGCAAAACUUAUGAAAGAACGAGAUAUGGCUGAGACGGCUGGCGACACAGAGAAAGUUGCAAAGUUGACACAGGACCUGGACACUUUGGAGGAGAAGGCUGAGGACCUGGACAGGAAGAGAACCAGCACCAUCUCAACCAUCUCACUCAUCAACGAUAGGAACAGGAAGAACAACGUCGCCAGAGCUUACACGGGUAUUCAAGCAGAUGAGGAGAGAAGGAGGAGGGAGGGAGAUAUCGACGAUCCAUUCACCAGGAGAAAAACUAAACCUAAACUAGGCUUUGCUGGAAAGAAUAAAGAACCCGAGAUGACUAGUGAGUUACUGAAGAAAUUAGAACUAGAAAAAGCCAAAAGUGAAAAGAAAGAGAAAGAGAAAACUCCUCUCUCUAUUCUACCCCCUCCAGUUGAUAUCUCCAAGCUGGCCGGAAGUAAGGAUAUGUCGGGUAUUCGGCCUAAACUGGAUAUAUUUGAUGCACACAACUUCGAGCUAGAUAUUAACGUUGAUGGUAUUCAGGCCACCCCGGUGACUCCCUCCAUUAAUCUUAAACCUGUUACAGCAAUAGAAACCCCUGCAGGUCCACUGAAAAGAUCUUUGAAGCUUGAUGAAUGGAAAAAGAAACGAGGAAUUAUUUAGAUAUUCAAAAAUGUACGUUAGCGCCAUCCUAGCAUCCUUCUUUGCUCCUUAUGUUUGCUCCAUUCUUACAUCCUAAUUUGCUUCUUUAUGUUUGCUCCACAUCCCUUUAUUCUACUUUGCUCCCAGAUAUUCACUCAACAGAUGUCACUUUGCUCCCUGAUCACUCCAUAGAUCCUGCUUUGCUCCAUAAUAUUCACCUACUUUGCUCCCUGAUUUUCACUUCACAGAUCCUACUUUGCUUCCUGAUUUUUACUCCAUAGAUUCUACUUUGCUCCCUGAUAUAUGCUUCAUAGAUCCUACUUGCUCCCUGAUUUUCACUUCAUAGUCCAUACCUUAGCAAUUAUUGACCCAGGAGCAAGUUAUGAUCUUCCUUUCCCAUUUAAGGAUUACCAAUUUGUAUGAUCAUUAAUUUUUGAUUGAUUCAUUCUUUGCUACAUUGAUACAUACUGUAGUUCAAUUCAACAUUAGCCUCAUUUUGAGGGACUGUAAGCGUAGUUCAUAGUGACCCUAAAUUGUCAACGAUACCCUUGCUUUCUCUAAGUAGCAAAUGAAGAAAAUAUGUCGUUUAUUAUUUUAAAAGUGACGAGUUCUGAUCAGAAAAUGUGAAACUAACAGUAAACACCUACUUUAUUUACAGUAUAAGGUUUGGAGCUCCUUCCAUUGUUCUGUUGGAAGUUAUUUUUGCAGAGAAACCACACCUGAAAACAAUAGAUUUUCAUUUAGAAAAUUUGGAUAUCUUAUUCAUCCGUUUUCAGAUUGUAAAGGGUAACGUGAUCAAAAAUAGAGAUUCACUUAAAAAAAGUAUUCAAUCCCUUUAAACAUAGUUAUAACCGAAACAUUUCUAUGUAUUAUUUUUAAUCCAUUUUAAAUAAUAUUUUUCCUAUUCGUUAAAUAAAUUUGUGUUCGCAUCA